rfam:Salmo salar isolate Sally breed double haploid chromosome ssa02, whole genome shotgun sequence.
AAUGCACCAAUUUGUAAGUCGCUCUGGAUAAGAGCAUCUGCUAAAUGACGUAAA